rnacentral:tRNA from 1 species
UGCGGAGUAGAGCAGUCUGGAAGCUCGUUAGCCUCAUCAGCUAAAGAUCAGUGGUUCAAAUCCACUCUCCGCAA